rnacentral:misc_RNA from 1 species
GUGCCGCCGAGCUGCUGCGCCAUGGUCUGCUCGCCGUAGCAGAUGCCGAGCACAGGCACGCCCGCGGUCAGGAUCGACAUCGGCGCGGACGGUGCAUCCUGAUCGAGCACCGAGGCCGGGCCGCCGGACAGGAUCACGGCUUUAGGCUUCAUCUCCCGGAAAGCCGCUUCGGCCUUCUGGAACGGCACGAUUUCUGAAUAAACGCCGUCCUCACGGACACGGCGCGCGAUGAGCUGGGUCACCUGCGAGCCGAAAUCGACAAUCAGAAUCUUUUCGUGAGCGGCCGCCAUGUCGGGCGUCGCUGGAGCGGUCUGGCUG